UACCCUAUAAUUUUAUUAAUUUAUAACUCUGACUACAUAUCAUUUGUUUCCAUAAUUAACUUUACUAAGCAGGCAUGACAAACUGCAUCCAUCCGUAUCCGUUUGAAGAAUUUGGAUCAUCUCCAGUCCAUUAUUUCCUGUUAUCUGUGCUAUCAUCAUCUCAACCGUUCAUUCAUAUUCUCUCUUUCUCUAAAUUUAUUUCUUUUAAUUUAGUUAUUUAUCAACCACCGGAUCAAGAGUGUGAGAGAUGGCUGAAUGGAAGGAGCGGGAGAUGAUCCAAUUCCCCAUUUGAAUCCAUGCCAACUUUGACAGAAAAAAUGCUUGGAUUGGUUACAUAUUCGAGUUUUUCUUAAUAUUCAAAUUCAAUGGUUAUUAUAGUUGUUGGCAUCCCCCCUGUCAAGAAAAAUAUACAUUUUAUUAUGGUUUAGUAAUUAUUAUUUCAUUUUUAUUUUAUACAUAUGGUGAAAGCGGGAAAAUAAGGAAAAAUAUAACUUUUUUUUUAAGGAAAAAAUAUAACAUAUUAUAAGCUAGCAAAAUAUAAAAAAAUUCUUCUAUAUUAAAGAUGGAUAAAAUCAACAAAGUGAAGAGUAUAUGAUAUUGAGAGAGAGGAAGAUAAGAAAAAAAAUUAAUUUGAAUAUUAGUGGUUGUUCGGUUGGCUUCAAUUAUGAAAAGAUAGAAUU
rnacentral:lncRNA from 1 species